AGCGCCCCUCUUGAUUGCAACGGCAGCUACGUGUUAAUCAGUACGUGCGGUGAUACGAGGUAUUACACUUUUACUCUCAAGGCCUCUUCUGUUUUUUUUCUACGCCAAAGCAGAAAAAGUCUCAGUCAAACAGAGGAUGGAUAAACGUCAGCCUGAAUUUAAGGCACCUUCAGUGCAAAAGCACAUGCAGUGGGAUACGUCUAUCACCUGACUCUGUAAGUUUCCUGUGUGGACUGGAGUAAAUGAGGGCUGAGGAAUGUGAGUGCAGGGUAAUCAUGGCAGACCUACAGGAGUAACCAGAUACCGGCUGCCAGACUUCAGAGGGAGCGGGAAUCCCUCCUCCACACAGACACACCAACUCCUGCAGGAGACGCUUUGGCUGGGACUCAACCCCCUCCCAUCCUUUAACCCAAACAUGGCCCUUAGUGUCCAACCCCCUGCCCUUAAAUGAAAUAUCAAAGUUUUGUUUGUUUGUCUGUUUGGUAGUUUGUUUACUUCUCCUUACAUGUGGAUGUAGUUGCUCUGAAACUGCUCUCAAGCUUAAGU